UGGCGAGUAAUCGAGAGGCCUCAGAUACCCGACUUUGACUCGGGUUACGUUGGUUCGAAUCCAACCUCGCCUGCCA
rnacentral:tRNA from 1 species